GCCGGGGUGGUGGAAUGGCAGACACGAGAGACUUAAAAUCUCUUACUUCGUAAGAGGUGUGCGGGUUCAAGUCCCGCCCCCGGCA
rnacentral:tRNA from 1 species